rnacentral:rRNA from 1 species
GACGAACGCUGGCGGCGUGCUUAACACAUGCAAGUCGAACGGAAAGGCCCUGCUUUUGUGGGGUGCUCGAGUGGCGAACGGGUGAGUAACACGUGAGUAACCUGCCCUUGACUUUGGGAUAACUUCAGGAAACUGGGGCUAAUACCGGAUAGGAGCUCCUGCUGCAUGGUGGGGGUUGGAAAGUUUCGGCGGUUGGGGAUGGACUCGCGGCUUAUCAGCUUGUUGGUGGGGUAGUGGCUUACGAAGGCUUUGACGGGUAGCCGGCCUGAGAGGGUGACCGGCCACAUUGGGACUGAGAUACGGCCCAGACUCGUACGGGAGGCAGCAGUGGGGAAUAUUGCACAAUGGGCGGAAGCCUGAUGCAGCAACGCCGCGUGCGGGAUGACGGCCUUCGGGUUGUAAACCGCUUUCGCCUGUGACGAAGCGUGAGUGACGGUAAUGGGUAAAGAAGCACCGGCUAACUACGUG